rnacentral:rRNA from 1 species
AGCUGGCGGCGUGCUAACACAUGCAAGUCGAACGCGAAAGCCGCAAGGGUUAGUAGAGUGGCAAACGGGUGAGUAACACGUGGGUGACCUGCCUUAGAGUGGGGGAUAACGUCCCGAAAGGGACGCUAAUACCCGCAUAACAUCCUGCCUUUGAAGAGGUGGAGAUCAAAGCCGGGACCCGCAAGGGCCUUGCGCUAUGGGAGCGGCCGAUGUCCGAUUAGCUUGUUGGUGAGGUAAAGGCUUACCAAGGCGACGAUCGGUAGCUGGUCUGAGAGGAUGAUCAGCCACACUGGGACUGAGACACGGCCCAGACUCCUACGGGAGGCAGCAGUGGGGAAUUUUGGACAAUGGGGGAAACCCUGAUCCAGCCAUGCCGCGUGAGUGAAGAAGGCCUUCGGGUUGUAAAGCUCUUUUGGCCGGAAAGAAAGGAUUCGGGUGAAUAUCCUGAGUCUCUGACGGUACCGGCAGAAUAAGCACCGGCUAACUACGUGCCAGCAGCCGCGGUAAUACGUAGGGUGCGAGCGUUAAUCGGAAUUCACUGGGCGUAAAGAGUGCGUAGCGGUUCUUUGGUGUCCGCUGUGAAAGCCCCGGGCUUAACCUGGGAAUGGCAGGUGGAAACUAGAGGACUUGAUUCCGGCAAAGGGGGGUGGAAUGCCACGUGUAGCAGUGACAUGCGUAGAGAUGUGGCGGGAAACACCGAUGGCAA